GACGAACGCUGGCGGCGUGCUUAACACAUGCCAGUCGAACGGAAAGGCCUCUUUCGGGGGGUACUCGAGUGGCGAACGGGUGAGUAACACGUGAGUAACCUGCCCUUGACUUUGGGAUAACUUCAGGAAACUGGGGCUAAUACCGGAUAGGAGCUCCUGCUGCAUGGUGGGGGUUGGAAAGUUUCGGCGGUUGGGGAUGGACUCGCGGCUUAUCAGCUUGUUGGUGGGGUAGUGGCUUACCAAGGCUUUGACGGGUAGCCGGCCUGAGAGGGUGACCGGCCACAUUGGGACUGAGAUACGGCCCAGACUCCUACGGGAGGCAGCAGUGGGGAAUAUUGCACAAUGGGUGGAAGCCUGAUGCAGCAACGCCGUGUGCGGGAUGACGGCCUUCGGGUUGUAAACCGCUUUCGCUCAUGACGAAGCUUUGUGUGACGGUAGUGGGGAAAGAGCACCGGCUAACUACGUG
rnacentral:rRNA from 1 species